rnacentral:rRNA from 1 species
AACGAACGCUGGCGGCAUGCCUAACACAUGCAAGUCGAACGAGACCUUCGGGUCUAGUGGCGCACGGGUGCGUAACGCGUGGGAACCUGCCCUUAGGUUCGGAAUAACUCCCCGAAAGGGGUGCUAAUACCGGAUAAUGUCUUCGGACCAAAUAUUUAUCGCCUUUGGAUGGGCCCGCGUUGGAUUAGCUAGUUGGUAGGGUAAAAGCCUACCAAGGCGACGAUCCAUAGCUGGUCUGAGAGGAUGAUCAGCCACACUGGGACUGAGACACGGCCCAGACUCCUACGGGAGGCAGCAGUGGGGAAUAUGGGACAAUGGGCGAAAGCCUGAGCCAGCAAUGCCGCGUGAGUGAUGAAGGCCUUAGGGUUGUAAAGCUCUUUUACCCGGGAUGAUAAUGACAGUACCGGGAGAAUAAGCUCCGGCUAACUCCGUG